AGACCCGAAACCCGGUGAUCUAGCCAUGGGCAGGUUGAAGGUUGGGUAACACUAACUGGAGGACCGAACCGACUAAUGUUGAAAAAUUAGCGGAUGACCUGUGGCUGGGGGUGAAAGGCCAAUCAAACCGGGAGAUAGCUGGUUCUCCCCGAAAGCUAUUUAGGUAGCGCCUCGUGAAUUCAUCUCCGGGGGUAGAGCACUGUUUCGGCUAGGGGGCCAUCCCGGCUUACCAACCCGAUGCAAACUGCGAAUACCGGAGAAUGUUAUCACGGGAGACACACGGCGGGUGCUAACGUCCGUCGUGAAGAGGGAAACAACCCAGACCGCCAGCUAAGGUCCCAAAGUCAUGGUUAAGUGGGAAACGAUGUGGGAAGGCCCAGACAGCCAGGAUGUUGGCUUAGAAGCAGCCAUCAUUUAAAGAAAGCGUAAUAGCUCACUGGUCGAGUCGGCCUGCGCGGAAGAUGUAACGGGGCUAAACCAUGCACCGAAGCUGCGGCAGCGACACUGUGUGUUGUUGGGUAGGGGAGCGUUCUGUAAGCCUGUGAAGGUGUGUCGUGAGGCAUGCUGGAGGUAUCAGAAGUGCGAAUGCUGACAUAAGUAACG
rnacentral:rRNA from 1 species